UUUUUCUGUAUAAAUAAGCCUCAGAGUUUGAAAAUGAACUAGUUUUGAUCAGAAAACCAAAAAUGAAGAUUUAUCUUUGCAUUGUAUUACUUGGUAUUGGCACCAUAGUUAUGGGCCAGUUAAGACAUUUCCCAGGUGGUGACAAUCAACACGGAAAACUUUACACCUCGCCACCGUACCAUCCCCGAAAACUUCCUACUCAUAAGCCACUUAUCAAUGAGCUAAAUAACCGCCAACUAGCAGCUCCUAAAUCUGCAACCUCACCGAAAUAAGUUUUGUAAAUAUUUCAAACACAAAUAAAUAAAAAAAAAACUAAAUAUG